rnacentral:rRNA from 1 species
GACGAACGCUGGCGGCGUGCUUAACACAUGCAAGUCGAACGGAAAGGCCCUGCUUUUGUGGGGUGCUCGAGUGGCGAACGGGUGAGUAACACGUGAGUAACCUGCCCUUGACUUUGGGAUAACUUCAGGAAACUGGGGCUAAUACCGGAUAGGAGCUCCUGCUGCUUGGUGGGGGUUGGAAAGUUUCGGCGGUUGGGGAUGGACUCGCGGCUUAUCAGCUUGUUGGUGGGGUAGUGGCUUACCAAGGCUUUGACGGGUAGCCGGCCUGAGAGGGUGACCGGCCACAUUGGGACUGAGAUACGGCCCAGACUCGUACGGGAGGCAGCAGUGGGGAAUAUUGCACAAUGGGAGGAAGCAUGAUGCAGCAACGCCGCGUGCGGGAUGACGGCCUUCGGGUUGUAAACCGCUUUCGCCUGUGACGAAGCGUGAGUGACGGUAAUGGGUAAAGAAGCACCGGCUAACUACGUG